UCACAGAAGAUUUGCGGCGGAGGGUGAGUACACGUGGGUAACCUGCCUGUAAGACUGGGAUAACUCCGGGAAACCGGAGCUAAUACCGGAUAGUUCCUUGAACCGCAUGGUUCAAGGAUGAAAGACGGUUUCGGCUGUCACUUACAGAUGGACCCGCGGCGCAUUAGCUAGUUGGUGAGGUAACGGCUCACCAAGGCGACGAUGCGUAGCCGACCUGAGAGGGUGAUCGGCCACACUGGGACUGAGACACGGCCCAGACUCCUACGGGAGGCAGCAGUAGGGAAUCUUCCGCAAUGGACGAAAGUCUGACGGAGCAACGCCGCGUGAGUGAUGAAGGUUUUCGGAUCGUAAAGCUCUGUUGUUAGGGAAGAACAAGUGCAAGAGUAACUGCUUGCACCUUGACGGUACCUAACCAGAAAGCCACGGCUAACUACGUGCCAGCAGCCGCGGUAAUACGUAGGUGGCAAGCGUUGUCCGGAAUUAUUGGGCGUAAAGGGCUCGCAGGCGGUUUCUUAAGUCUGAUGUGAAAGCCCCCGGCUCAACCGGGGAGGGUCUG
rnacentral:rRNA from 1 species